ACGGGAGGCAGCAGUGGGGAAUAUUGCACAAUGGAGGCAACUCUGAUGCAGCGACGCCGCGUGAGCGAAGAAGUAUUUCGGUAUGUAAAGCUCUAUCAGUAGGGAAGAUAAUGACGGUACCUACAGAAGAAGCCCCGGCUAAAUACGUGCCAGCAGCCGCGGUAAUACGUAUGGGGCAAGCGUUAUCCGGAUUUACUGGGUGUAAAGGGAGUGUAGGCGGCAGUACAAGUCAGGAGUGAAAACUUGGGGCUCAACCCCAAGACUGCUUUUGAAACUGUACAGCUAGAGUGUAGGAAGGGCAAGCGGAAUUCCUGGUGUAGCGGUGAAAUGCGUAGAUAUCAGGAAGAACACCGGUGGCGAAGGCGGCUUGCUGGACUAUAACUGACGCUGAGACUCGAAAGCGUGGGGAGCGAACAGGAUUAGAUACCCUGGUA
rnacentral:rRNA from 1 species